rnacentral:lncRNA from 1 species
GUAGAGAGGCUGGAGCUGUUCCCUGUGGAGCUGGAGAAGGGUGAGACACGGCCGCGGGGUGGGGGUGGGGGGUGUCUCCACUGGCGCCAGCUCUGCCCUGGGCCCUGGCGUGGGGUGGGGGUGGGGGGGCUUCCUCGGGGACUUUGGUGUCACCCCUGCCAGCGCCCCCGGCCACACGGACUCCAUUGCGGCCGGAGCUCCCACCACCGACCCUGUCCUGCCCCACUCUGUGCUCACUCAGCCCAGCUGCCAGGUCCCCGGGGGGGCGCUGGGGGCUGGGCUCUGGGCACUGUGUGGGCCUCGCGCUGAUGGGAGGCCAGCACUGAUGGGACACUCCCAGCCAACUGUGUCCUCACAGGCUGUCAUGGGUGCCGGGCAGGGAUGGGAGGGGCCGCCGUAACAGCAUGUAGACUCAGGUCAGUGGGGUCCCCGAGGAAGGAAUGCUUGCAUUGAGCUCUGAAGGUGGAGGUGGGGGGGUGGGUAGAACUCAGGAGAGCUUGCAGGAAAGAGAAAAGAGAGACUCGGCUAGAUUUUGAUCACGAGGGCAAGGGGGGUAUGUGGGGCCUCGUAGACCACGUGGAGGACAGGUGGUCCCCGUGGAUGGACCGGGAAACCGUGGCAGGGCAUGGGAAAGGUAUUUUAGAAAGACCACCACAGGCUGUGCUGUGGGGAGAAGGGUCAUAAGUGGAUGGGGAGAGACCACAGUGGUGUGGACCAGACGAUGGCUGUGUGGAAGUGGGUGCCUCCUUGCGAGGCAGAAUCUGCAGGAUCUAGAGGUUAUUUGGCCCUGGCUGAGGCCGUGAGGGGGGAGGGAGGAAUCCAGGUGACUCCCAGGCCCCAGGAGGGAGUGGCAGACGGGAAGAGCCUGUUUGUGGGGGAAGAUAAGAGUUUGGAUGUCAGGGGCCCGUGAGACAGGAGGGGGGGCAGCUGCGGAGAGCAAAGCGGGAAAUCCCCAGUCAUUGAGGCUGUGAGUAUGGGUGAGUCUGUGUAGAGGAGACCAACCCCAUCGUGGCCACCCCCACGCCAUCCCAUCCCUCUGCACCCCUCAUCUGCAUGCAGAAUUGUCUCUGGCCAACCCCCCGGGCCACCCUCGGCCUGCCUUGCUGCCCAGUGGUUCUUGGGGGUGGAGAGCACAGAGCAGGGAGUGACCCACGAGCCUCCUGGUUGGCUUGACAAAGAGAGCGGAGAGAACGGUGUCCCUUCCCUAGUUGCGGACAUCCCCUGAGUGCGGGGCCUGCUGCUCGGGGUCGGGCCGUGCCCUGGGGUGAGGUUGGAGACUGGGGUGGGGGGGACGUCUCUCUCUCUCUGUCCCCCUGCAAGCCCUGGCUGGAACGCCUCACCCCACCCCCACCUCCCAACACCAGCCUCUCACGACUUUUUGCUCCACAGACUCUGAGGGCCUGGGCAUCAGCAUCAUCGGUAUGGGGGCCGGGGCGGACAUGGGCCUGGAGAAGCUGGGCAUCUUCGUGAAGACCGUGACCGAGGGUGGUGCAGCCCAUCGGGACGGCAGGUACCGCCUCCCCCUCCCCCACUGGCUGCCAGCCGCGGGGCGGGCCACUGUUUGUGUGGGGCUCAGGUAUUCCUGGAGCCUUACUGUGCUAGAUGCUGGUCCAGGGGGUACAGCGCCGAACACAACUGAUGGGACCCCUGCCCUCAAGGCACUUACAUUCUUUGGAGGGGGGCUGCACGGAGGCAUCGUACGUCCUGGCUUUCGGUGUGUGUUGGACCGCGGUAGGGAGAGCACAGGCGUGGAGGUUGUGUUCCUGGCGGAGACCUCUGAGCUUUUUGAUUUUCACUUAGCAAAUACCGAGUCUCUGGCUCUGUGGGCGGGGCUGGAGCCAGCCCUGGGGUGUCAGUGAUGAGGGCCUUGCCCUCAAGAAGCAUGCGGUAUGUUGAGGCAGACGGGCAUCCAAGUGGACGCACAGAAACCACGGGAAAAGUAGCACAGGGGUGCCACGAAGGCAUCAAAAGGAGGACUUGUUCUCUCUGGCUCGCAGGGAAGGCUUCCUGGAGGAAGUGACAUUGGAGCUGAGACCUGAAGGAUGAGCAGGAGUUAGCCAGGCUGAGGGAGUAGAAUGUGCAGCAGGUUCCAGGAAGGGGACUGAAAGCAGGCGGGUGUGGCGGGAGCAUAGCAAGCAAGGGGGAUCCAGGUGCGUGGUGUGGCUAGAAAGACUGGUGGGCCGUGCCUGGAGGGGAGACGCUCCUUGUGUGCGUGCGUGUGCAUGUGUGUGCAUGGGUGCUCUGCUUGGCGUCUGAAGCUGGAGGGGUCAGAAGGUUCAGGGAGGGCCUCCUGGAGCCCCAGGCAGCCCAGUGACCCCACUGUGGGCCCCUCCACUAUGUGUGUGUAUCGCAGGGGGGAAGUGGGACGGGCUUUAGGGUGUCCCCGGGGUUGUCGGAAGUUGGAGGUUGAUAAUCAGGGGUGCCUUGUGGUGGUACCUCCCAACCCGGACCCCCUCAGUGUGACAGAGGUGAAUGGGUGUCCCUGUGAGGGCUGGGUGACUUGGGGUCAUGUUGCUGGAGCUUGGGUUGCCUCAUUCAGGGUGCUGCUGCCUGCUGUGGCCCUGGGAGCUCGGGGGGCAGACAAAAGGAAGGUGACGGUCUCCGCCCUUUCCCUUACCCCCUCAUUUGAAUUUCCAGAGCCUUCCCUGUGGUCCUCCGUUGGUGGUGUGGGAAGUGUGUGCCCAUGUUGAGUGUGGCCACACGUGGGGCGUGCGGGGGUGAGCUCUUCACAAUAGGCCAUUUCCUCCAUUUCCGCAUAGGAGGCCGGGGAGAAGGCCUGGAGCUUGCAGGGAGGUGGGAGUGGAGGAAGGAGGUGGCCAAGGGUCCCGCCAGUCCCUUCGUCCCCCUCGGCAGGCUGGGCCGGACACCCCCGUCUCUCUCCUUGCGCCGAGAAGCAGGGCCCCUCGUGCCACACCGAGAACGUGGUGGGGGCUGUGUCCCCGUAUGAGGGUGCCGUGAGCCUACGGGCCAGCACGUGAGCACUGCAGUUUGCUCCGCUACAUGGGUCUCGGGCAUUUGGGAGCCACUCGGCAGACCCGGGUCUGUAGACGUGGACUUAGAAGCGGACCGUGUGUCACCUGUGCUUCGGGCCUCCGCCGGCGUCCGUGGUGGUAAUGAACUCUGGAUGCUCUACACCCGCUCUGUCGGGUGUGACGGAGGAGGGACAGGGGUGUGAUUGUCGCAGGACGUGUGCCUGCCACCACUCCUGGUCCUGCGUGCCCGUGUCUGCUUUGCCUGCCCGGGUCUCCCUGCCCGCUGGUGAGUCUGGGACGAUACGGGAUGCUCUGGCCUCAUGCGUUUUAUGCAAGUAGACAAAGUACCAGGGCCCAGCGGGGACUGAGCCUCAAGUUUCGGAUGGGAGGGGGACCACCUCUACCUCAGCUCCGGUUCCCCGGUGACCCCCGCUGACCAGUGUGGCCUCUCCCAGGAUCCAAGUGAAUGAUCUCCUUGUGGAGGUGGAUGGCACGAGUCUGGUGGGAGUGACCCAGAGCUUUGCAGCCUCCGUGCUCCGGAACACCAAGGGUCGAGUGCGGUAAGGGCCCGGAGCAGGGGGGGCUGGGUGGGGGAGGUGGGAGCGGACGGGAGGUUUGGCCCUCAUCCCGGCACUCAGCCCACCUGGCCGUACCCAGGUAAGGUUCUGGGCAGCCCGCCUUAUUUUUUUUUUUUAAUUAAAGUUUAUUUUUAUUUAUUUUGAGAGCGAGAGAGCAAGCGGGGGAGGGACAGAGAGAAAGAAUCCCAAGCAGGCUCUGCCCUGUCCGUGCAGAGCCCGGUGUAGGGCUCGAACACACGGACCCUGAGAUCGUGACCUGAGCCGACUCCAAGAGUCAGAUGAUUAACCGACCGACCGAGCCACUGGGCGGCUCACCACACAGAGGAGCUUUCAUGGCCUCCCUCCCCAAAGGAAUUGCUGUGCCCGUAUCCCUACCCUACGCCUGCCGUCCUCUCCCAAGCCCCUGAGUACUGCUGGCCACCAGCACAGGCUUCAAGGCCUAUGGCCCGCUGCACCUCCAAACUGGCCUCUUGGACUUAUUCUUCCCCUGCUUGUCCGUGACUAACUCACCAAAGAACCAAGAUGUGCAGGGAGAAUGCCAUCCAAAUUGGAGUCUCCCCCACCGGGCACCUACCCCAUCCUUCUCUCUCACCCACUGUGUAAUCCUGGCCGACUCUCCUCCCCGGGCCUGUCGGUGAAGGGAGCUGGGCUAGGAGCUCCUUACGUCCCUCUCUGGCAUAACAUUCGGGGACCACUCCCUGCCCCCUCCAAGAGGGGCACUGCCCCCAGGAAAGGGUGGUGGACAGAAACAGGAUGUGGGUGGCCACGGAGAGGAGGGGCUGGUGCCUGGAAGUUCCACUACUUCCUCUCCAUCCCAAUCUCCACUCACCAUCGUCCCGCCCCUUCCUGAAGCUUGGGGGCUUGGAGCUCACACAAGGCACACCCCCACAGCCCCAGGGCAGGGGAGUGGGGAAGCCGGCUGCUGGGAUGGGUCAGGGCCCCGAUUUCUCCCCCGGUGGUGGAGGAAGAGCCCCCUGCCCAGGCGGCUUCUGAGCUCCUGUCCCCUGCAGCCCAGCAGGGGGUUUGGCUGACAUCACCCCUCCCCCAAAACUGGCCGCGAGGGUUAGCGGGCCUUCUGCCUCUCUGGGGAAGGAAACCCAAGAAGGGCCCCCAGCUCCCCCAUUCAUUAUUAACACUCCACGGCCUCUGGACUCAACCCUCUCAUUUCACCUCCCUUGGGAGGGUCCGGGGGGCGGAGGUGGUGCGCCAGCGGGGAGGAUGGUGGCAUCACCCAGUCGAAGACAGAGGCGAAGGCAUGACGCUAGUGCCCCUGCAGAUUUAUGAUUGGCCGGGAGCGGCCAGGCGAGCAGAGUGAGGUGGCCCAGCUAAUUCAGCAGACCCUGGAACAGGAGCGAUGGCAGCGGGAGAUGAUGGAGCAGAGAUACGCCCAGUACGGGGAGGACGACGAGGAGGUAGGGACUGCCGGCCUGGCCGGUGGCAUCAUCGCCCCCUGGUGGCUGGAUGGAGCAUUACAACCAUCCUCUGACCCUGCUUUCCCAGGCCUUGUGAAGAAGGCGGGCGCACACCAGUCCCUAUCCUGGGGGAGUCCCCAGACGGAGGGAGGACAUGCAGACCCUUCCUUCAAAGAACACUUAGUCUUCUGGAAGGGGUCACACUUUCUGUCUUCAGAGACCCUUCCUGCUCCUACAAGGAAAACACAGUUCCUUCAAAGAGUCCCUACUCUGAGGGGAAGGCAUACAUAGCCUCUACCCUCAGGGGACCUAAUCUAAGGAAGGAGAUGGGGCUCCAGACCUCAGGGGACCCAUGGAGUGAAGGGAAAAGCACAGGCUGUUUCUUCAGGGCUCCCAGUCUUACAGGGGAACUACCUGGGCCUUCAGGGGACUCCCCAGGCUGCUGGGGGCAGACGCAAACCACGCCCACUGGCGUAGCCCCAGUCUGAUGGGGGAGGCAUGAACCACACCCCCGGGUAGCCCCCCAGUCUGACUUGGGCAGACCGUUGCCAGUCUAAGCCCCGCUCAUCAGGGCUGAGGGAGGCCGGGGUGGACAGGAUGUGCAGUCGCCUCUCUCCCUUCGCAGACAGGAGAAUAUGCCACCGACGAGGAUGAGGAGCUCAGCCCCACGUUUCCAGGGGGCGAGAUGGCCAUCGAGGUGUUCGAGCUGGCGGAAAACGAGGACGCCUUGUCCCCCGUGGACAUGGA